UUACGUUCAAUCAGCCCCUGGCUUCUGUUGAAUGAAUAGAGGGUUCAGGUGAAGCAGGGGAGUCUAUUGCUCUCUUUUCCUUCUCUUUCCGUCUGAUAGCUGUGACAAAGAGAGAUGGUCAAAUAGCGUAUAUUAAGGUAGAAGACGCUAAGCCGAUAUUCCUUUUGUGUUCUUUUCUUUGUCUCGAGAGAAGGGGAUCACUCCCAAUACCUCGGGUCGACUUCAGGCUCCUCGCCUUUUCAAUUGAGCUGCUACGCGCCUGUUCUUUCUUUCAUUCCUCGGGCGACAAGAAAGACUUGCUUAGUUCCGCGCUUCUGCUUGCUAGCAGCUCUCAUCUUUCAUUUUGUUGCGUCCUUCUUUUAUUCAUAUUCAAUCUUCCGCUUUCAUCGCUCGUAGUUGCUCUCUUCCUUAAUUUAAUGCUAUCUUCUUCUUAGCCUCGUUUGGCGCUAUAUACCUUCUGUGCUUCCCCUACGUGUCCAUGAGCAUUAGUUCGAGUCUACGCCCAUCUUUCUGAGUUCAAAGCGAGGGUGUUUACACGCGCGAGUCCAAAACG
rnacentral:misc_RNA from 1 species